UCCGGCUUGACACCGGCAGUCUCCUUAGAGUUCCCGGCAUGACCCGCUGGUAACUAAGGACAAGGGUUUCGCUCGUUAAGGGACUUAACCCGACAUCUCACAACACGAGCUGACGACAGCCAUGCAGCACCUGUGCACGUUCCACCCUUGCGGGUGUCACCCGAAUUUCACCGGGCUAAUCCGUGCAUGUCAAAUCUAGGAUAAGGUUCUUCGCGUAGCCUCGAAUUAAGCCACAUGCUCCACCGCUGGUGUGAGCCCCCGUCAAUUCCUUUGAGUUUCAGCCUUGCGACCAUACUCCCCAGGCGGGGUACUAACCACUUUCGCUUCGGCAGGAGGCGACAUCGGAUCGCUUCCUACCCAGUACCCAUCGUUUACGGCCAGGACUA
rnacentral:misc_RNA from 1 species